UACGAAGGGGGCUAGCGUUGCUCGGAAUUACUGGGCGUAAAGGCGCGUAGGCGGGUCGUUUAGUUAGAGGUGAAAGCCCAGGGCUCAACCCUGGAAUUGCCUUUAAUACUGGCGGCCUUGAGUAUGGCAGAGGUGUGUGGAACUCCGAGUGUAGAGGUGAAAUUCGUAGAUAUUCGGGAAGAACACCAGUGGCGAAGGCGACACACUGGGCCAUUACUGACGCUGAGGCGCGAAAGCGUGGGGAGCAAACAGG
rnacentral:rRNA from 1 species